rnacentral:lncRNA from 1 species
CGGCUUUUAAGUGGGCAAAGCCUUUUUCUACUCGUUGUGUGUAACAUAGUUUUACUAGCUCUCAUCUUUUUGAAUCUAUCAUUCUUUUCUUGCAAAAUUAAAAAAUUAUUCUAUAAGCACAACAUUAUGGCUAGUGAUAUACUUUCCUUUUGCUAACGGAAGUGAAAAUAGUAGGGAGAGCUGGCAAAUAUAACAUCUAUGAACAGAAAUUGCUUGCCAGGUAGAGUUAUAGGAUUGACUUAUGAUAUAGAGUUGGUAGCUAUAGGAAAUCAUCUAACAACUUAACUCAUUAUCUAUAAAGAGUAGGUAACAACAUUACAAUCAUUUCCCAUUCACAAAUUCACAAGGAAAUUCAUCUGGUUUGCCCAUAGUAAGAUGAAACAUGCACAUUCAAUAUAUAAAAGCAAUGGAACAUACCUUCUAUCGCUGAGAAUUGCGUUCUUUGACAAAUGCUUUCUAUUGAGUCAACAUUAUCUAGCUUGAGAAGAGCAGCAGCUCGUGUCAUGCUAAUUGUUCUUCCUUUGUUACCGAUUAUUUUUAGCACAUUAGAUCGAUGAUCUCUCCAACUCUUUCCCAAUUUUUGCACAAUGUACUUUCUAUGACAAAUGUUAAUAUCAAACCUUUGUUGCAUCAAAAUAUACAAGAUUAAUAGUAAUUUAAUUUAAACUAUAUGUGAUGUGAAGUUUAUAUCACAUGCACAAGCUCCCAUAUGUCAUCAAGAAAACUUUUGCUGAAAUCUUUCCAAUUUCUCUUUGUAAUAGGUGUACGUUUCCUAGCUGCGGACUAUGGUUCGAAGGAACGACGAUGACUUAUUUGAUCCUUUACAAAUUGAUUGCCUUCUUUCAUUAAAUUCUAUAGUUAACAUUGCACAUUUUCCCUUGUUGAGAUAGUUCAACUUUGCCCGACCCCUUCCUUUAUUUCCUUUUUCAGUAGUACUGAUGCUAUUAGGCAAGACUUCUUCAUCAUGUUGCACAGAAUUAGAACAUCCCUAUGAUAUUCUUAUUCCUUCAUUUCCUUCUCUUGUGACAGCAACAAUUAUAGCUUUUUAGCUUCUUUUGAUUUCUUGUAACCCUGAUUAGAUGAUUGCAUUUCAUAAAUAAGAAAGACACAUUUUUUUUGCUUAAAUUUAACAUAGAAACAUGAAAAAUCAUUAUAUACAACCUCAUGACUUACUUCACCAAGAUCUGACAUAUUAUGUCCAAUCAUUUGCACAUUAGUUUUCACAAAAGUCAGCUUUCAUCAUUUGCAUCUAUAUAAAUAAAUUAAGAAAGAAUGGAAUUAGAGACAUUAACAUUAAUGUAAUAUCAAUAAAAAUAAUGCAAGAAAGAAAGAAUCUUAAAUUUAUACAAUUACAAUAUUGAAUUUCAUCUCCCUCACAAUCAUAUCAAGUCUUAAUGAUGUAUCUAAUGUAGAUGGAGUAUAAGCAUCCUUAUCAAAAUUUUCUGACUCAUAAAAUCCUCUAGGAGGUGCCUUCAAUAUAAUAUACCAACUAGAAGUAUCACUUUCUCUAGAAUAAAAAACUUGGUUUGCUUGUGAUGCUAAAAUAAAUGGAUCUCUUUCAAAUUGAUGUUGUCAUCUAUGAAGAUUUACCAACAUAAACCCUUCUUUAAUCUUUACUCCGCUAUCUAUAUUUGUCCAAUCAAAAUGAAACAUAGGAACUUUAAAAGUAUGAUAGUCUAGUAGAAUUAUAUCUUUUAUAACCCCAUAAUAAGAAAUUUUACCAACUACUUGACUUGUAUCCUUCACACUAGACCGGCAAAUAGUUUGUGCCUCAAUAGAAACACCAUUGUUUUGUGUACUUUUGCAAACAUCAGUUGUAUGAAACUAAUGUCCAUUGAUAAUAUAACCAGAAUGUGACAUCACGUUAUAUCUAGGUCGUCAUGCAAGCCAUUUCAAUAUACUUGAUAUGUUACAAUUGUCUUGUUUGCCUUUCUCUGCAAACCUAAGAGUAAAACUCUCCAUAUGUUUAAGUUGUAAUAAGGUUUCAUUCUUGGCAACACAACCAUAUGAAUUCUUAAUCUCCUCUCUAUGCAUCCUAAAUAAAAAUAAUUAAAUAAAUAAAUAAAUAGUAAGACAAGUUUACGAGAAAAUAUUAAUCGAUAUAAAACUAAUUUAUUAACUAACUUGAUUACAUUAUAUAUGGUUCAAUUGUAGCACUGUUAAACAGCACGUAGCGAUGAGUGACCUCUAACAUUUCUUGACUCAAAAUCUUUGACUUUCCUUUAGAAAUUAGGCGUCCAUCAAUAGUUGUGUCGUUCUCAAAAUCCUCAUUUUGAUUAUGUCGAACAACUACCUUAGCAACUUGUUUCUGGUAACCAUUACAAAAAUGCAGACAUUCAUUGGAUAAAUAACGCUUUGCUAUGCAGCCCUCUAGUCUUGAGUGAUUUCUAACAUAUCAUUUAAGUGUUUUCAUAAACCUAAUUCACACAUAAUAGGCAUGAG